rnacentral:rRNA from 1 species
UUAUGGCUCAGGAUGAACGCUGGCGGCGUGCCUAAUACAUGCAAGUCGUACGAGGGAAGUCCAGCUUGCUGGACGGAACGAGUGGCGAACGGGUGAGUAAUACGUAAGCAACCUGCCUGCAAGGACUGGGAUAACACCUGGAAACGGGCGCUAAUACCGGAUAGGUAACAAAGGGCAUCCCUAUGUUAUUAAAGGUUAGAAACACAAGCAGAUGGGCUUACGGUGCAUUAGCUAGUUGGUGAGGUAACGGCCCACCAAGGCGAUGAUGCAUAGCCGGCCUGAGAGGGUGAACGGCCACAUUGGGACUGAGACACGGCCCAGACUCCUACGGGAGGCAGCAGUAGGGAAUUUUCGGCAAUGGACGAAAGUCUGACCGAGCAACGCCGCGUGAGUGAAGAAGGUUUUCGGAUUGUAAAGCUCUGUUGUAAGGGAAGAACAGCACGGAAAGAAUCCGUGAAUGACGGUACCUUACCAGAAAGCCACGGCUAACUACGUGCCAGCAGCAGC